rnacentral:rRNA from 1 species
AGAGUUUGAUCCUGGCUCAGAACGAACGCUGGCGGCAGGCCUAACACAUGCAAGUCGAAGGAGAAGCCACCCUCGGGUGGUGGAAACUGGCGCACGGGUGAGUAACGCGUGGGAAUUUGCCCUGGGGUGGGGGAUAACCGCUGGAAACGGCGGCUAAUACCGCAUACGCCCUGCGGGGGAAAGAUUUAUCGCCCUGGGAGAAGCCCGCGUUGGAUUAGCUUGUUGGUGGGGUAAAGGCCCACCAAGGCACCGAUCCAUAGCUGGUCUGAGAGGAUGGUCAGCCACACUGGGACUGAGAUACGGCCCAGACUCCUACGGGAGGCAGCAGUGGGGAAUAUUGGACAAUGGGCGAAAGCCUGAUCCAGCCAUGCCGCGUGAGUGAAGAAGGCCUUAGGGUUGUAAAGCUCUCUCACCCGUGAAGAUGAUGACGGUAGCGGGAGAAGAAGCCCCGGCUAACUCCGUGCCAGCAGCCGCGGUAAUACGGAGGGGGCUAGCGUUGUUCAGAAUUACUGGGCGU